GUAGGAAUACAUAAUAAGGAAAUCAGCCUUCCUUGCUUUUUUUUCUCACAAAAUGACCAUUUUCAAUACAGGAGUGCCAGUUGUAGGCAACAGCGGAGCAGUGUGAAAUUUCAGGCAGAGCUUUGCCAAGGUUGAAACAUGGUUACAGGAGCUUUUGAUAAGAAGAGCUGAACAAGGCUCAACACAAUUUUUAUAAACUUAAGCAGGAUAGUCAUCAGUUCUGUCACCGGUCAUCACUCUGUUAAUUACGGCAAAACUAUGAAGAAAGCAACAGUGGGAUACAGAAGAUGAUUUAAUUCCCUUUCAUUGCCAGCUAGACGGAGCCCCUGCCUUUAAUGGACUUGUGCCGAAGAUCAAUUCGUUUUGCUCUUGGCAGAGACCGCCUGCAUGACAUAGAAAUUCUACCUUUGCCUCUGUCUCUGAAAAAUUAUUUACAAUAUCAAUAAGACGUCUAGAACCCUCCGGCCUCACAUUGGACUACAUCAAUGCAAAUAGCAGAAAAUUGUUUACAGCAGAAUAAAAAUUUUCGUGAUGGACACUUAAGUGUUAUUUAAUUUUUAAUAUAUAUAUUUUUUUCUGAAUCAGUGAAAGCGGAUCACUGUGGGGGACUACUAAAGAAUGUGAAAACAUUGAUUUGAUCAAGAUUCAUGUGCUAUCUGUUGCCUGUUGUGUUUACAGUCCUGAAAGCCAUUAUCCUAAGCUGUCAUAUAUUGGUUUAUUGUUGAUGCCUCUAGUAAAUGCCAAUAGAAAAUCUGACCUGCAAGAUCCCAUGUCAUGCAGGACAGAGCAUUCUUCAAUGAUGUGGGUUUUUUGUUUUGUUUUUAUUUUUCUUUCUUUCUUUCCUUUUUUCUUUCUUUCUACUUCUUCUAUAUCCUACCCCACUAUAAUCAGUUAGCAAAGGAAAACUGAAAAUAGCUUAAAUCUGACCUUUGGUAUCCGGAGUUGUUAAGAGCUUUGAGUGUUCCUGGCAUAAUCAGCCUGUAACACCUAAAAGCUCUGACAAUUAGGGAAGGAAGAAAUAAAAAAAAAAUAAAUAAAAAAAUAAAAAAAAAACAAAAACAAGAAGAAAGCAAGCAGCUUGUCUAGAAGAAUGUGUGAUUUAAAUCAUGAAAAUCUGAUAUAUGUGUCUGAAAGGUCAGUUUUUUGACGUGGUAAGUGAGAUGCAGUCCAUUGCUUUCAAGACCAAAUCAAAUCCCUCCAAAGUUCUGCAGUCUAUAGCGAAGUGCUCACUACCCCAGGAAUUCAGGAUACUAAUAUUUUAGCUCGUCACUUCUUUUUUGAACAAAUUUAUAAUUUUUAUGUGGUAUGAACUCUAAAUACUUGGUUCUCUUCUUAAUUUAUGUGUGGCUAUAAUGUUUAUUUAUCUGUUUAGAAUCUGUGGUGUUCUCAUUUAACUGUUUCCCAUCUUGGGGGUUACUGAUUUUGUUGUGUUGUUGUUUUUUUUAUUUUUUUUUCCCAACUUCACCUGAAAUGUUAUUAAUUUUUCAGGCUCAUCCCAUUUUUAAGAUGCUGCUUUCUAUUUGCAUUUCUUACAUGUUUCAGAUUAUCAACCUCAUCAGUUACCUAGUUUUUAAACUGGAAGAUGUUGCUAUGGCAGGAUGUCAAGUGACUGAGCUGCCUUCAGCAUAUUUUAAUGUGAAUUUACUGAUGAAUGAAGAUAAAAUUUCUAAUAAAGUCUACUGUCCAAAAUAAAA